AGAUACGGAGGUAGAGCACUGAAUGUCCUAGGGGGUAUUGCACCUACCGAAGACUAUCAAACUCCGAAUGCCGUCAUCUUAUACUUGGGAGUCAGACUGUGGGUGAUAAGAUUCAUAGUCGAAAGGGCAACAGCCCAGAUCGUCAGCUAAGGUCCCUAAAUGUAAGUUAAGUGGUAAAGGAUGUGGGAUUGCACAGACAACCAGGAUGUUGGCUUAGAAGCAGCCACUCAUUCAAAGAGUGCGUAAUAGCUCACUGGUCGAGUGAUCCUGCGCCGAAGAUUUCCGGGGCUAAAACUUACUACCGAAGCUACGGCAUCAGUAAUGAUGGGUAGGGGAGCUUCCCAUACGGGUUGAAGCAUGACCGUAAGGACAUGUGGACAGUAUGGGAGUGAGAAUGUUGGCAUGAGUAGCG
rnacentral:rRNA from 1 species